rnacentral:lncRNA from 1 species
CUUUUUCCACCUUUGAUUUGGUGGCAGAGAAAAAGAAUUUCCACUUUUUAGUGGAAGUUUACAGAUUAUGACUAUGCAAUACACUUCUUUACAGAGACUUUGGGUAGGCAGAUAAAUAUUUUACAAGCAAAACCCCAGCCCCUGACCUUACUUCCCUGCUUGUGGUUCUGCUGAGAUUCUGACCCCCACCCUACAUCUGCUUUCUCUCUCCAGACCAAUUCCUUUCUUUCCUGUGGUCAAGAGAACAAGCUGGCCAUAACAUCACAUAGCUCACAGUGGUGUCAGGCUGGCAUACAUCACUGCCCACAGUUUUGCCGGUGGCAGUUCAACCAAGAAGUGGUCUAAGUCCAGAGGGAGUUCAACCACAAAAUCUCAAGGAGGUCUUCUUCGUGGCAGAUGGGAGCAUUUUGGUCUCUGAAAAGAACUUCCCUUCCUUGGAACUGGUGAGCUGGAACUCUGGUUUACAUAGGAGCUUCCCGCAGACUUGUAAGCACAUCAGCCCUCAGGAGCCCUGACGCAACAUCAAGUUCAGGGUUUGUCAAGCUGAGGAUCAGACUGUGAAGCAGGGGAUACCCAAAUCCUAACUUUUCUGUUGGACGGCUCCUAAGAACACUGUAAGCAUCCCAUCUAUCCUGACAAGUCUGCGGAAGAGAGACUAGAUGUGAAAGUUACAGGGACGAAAAUAGUAAUGCAGCAACCCAUUGCCUGAUGAAGACCCAUCCCUCAUUAGGAAGGGCAAAGCUUGGAAAUCCUUCUUCCUGUCUAUGGAGCCCUCUCUCAUUGUCACUGAAGCCCUGUAAACCUUCUGUGGAGGACACACAGCCAGCUUCCUGCUUGAGAUUCUUUGGCCUCUUCCGCAGAUUAAAAACUUUGAAUUCCUUAUUGUUACUUCAAAAAAUCCAUUAUUUAUUUCUGGAAUGAUUUAGCAAUGUUAUUACUCUUUUUAAGAGUAAGUAAGAGUAAAGUCUUAAAAGAUAUUCAGUCAGUGGCUCAAGAAUAUAGUUUCUAAAAGAAAUCCAAGUAUGGCUGUAUCAUAAUUAGGCAGUGUCUGAAAUUUUACACCAAUGCUUCUCCAAGUGCAACCCUAGGACUAGCAACAAGAACACAACCCAGGAACUGCAGAUCCUUAGGAUCCACCCUGAUCCACUGAAUCAUGCACCUUGGGUGGAGCCCAGUGGUCUGGGCUUUAACCAAGGCCUUCUGGUGCUUGACUCUCACUGACUUUGGAGAAUUAUUGCUCCCAUGCAAGAUGAGGUAGAAAGGACAGAUUGCAGUGUCUGAGCCUGAGUAUAAAGGAAGGUCCUCAGUCCUGAUACCUCCAAAUCCAACCCUCUAGCUGGUAGUAAAGGAUAGAAAUGUUC